CGAAAGCAAAAAUGAAUAUUACAUAUGUUUGGUCAGCUCAUCAGUGAUGCACAGAAUUCUAUUGUUUGAGAACGAAAUGCAUCAUUAAUACUGAAUUUCACAAUUUGUUUAUAGGAGAUGAUUCAGCUUAAUUUCUAAAGCACCCUCUUUAUUAGAUGGCUGUCAGAUCAAGUCAGGUUUCAAGAACAAGUAUUUCAGCUGCAUUAGUAAUGAUGUUGUAAUCAUCAAUGCAGUAAUCAUUUAAAAAACAAAUGUGCUUAAAAGCAAGGAAACAAAUACUUAAAAUGGAGAAAUGAGCAUUCUCAGCAAGGGUGAAGAAGCACAGGGUUCUUCACAGUCAUAAAUUUCAAGUUGUGCUAUUUGACAGAAGAUAUAUAAUUGUCAACAGACAGAUUCUUGGGACUGUGUUCAUUUGCUUUUCUUGUGUUUAUAGGGGCACGUAGGGGGGAAAUGAUAAUUUACAAUGAGACUGGGUCUGCAGAUCUCUUUGAGGCCGAAUAGAGAGUGGAGUGCCUGAUGUGGUAGCCAGCUCAGCGAGAGCUGCUGCUGUAUGCACCCCUGUACUGACUGCCCGCCCCCCUCCUGGGAUCCAGGUAUUAAAAGUGCAACUAUAGAAACAGCUGUCUUCUUAAAAAGUAAUGAGCACCCUCCUCAACUCCAUGCUAGAGGAACAUGGACUAAACACUCAGGAAUUUGAAGAAAUUUUUCUUGCCUCUCUGUGGCCCAGAUAUGGGAGUGGAGUAACUGAUGCCUUUGUGGUUUUGAGCAAUGAGCACUGACUGAAGGAAGGGAAUCCAUGAUCAUGAGUUUCACUUCUUAUUGGCUGCAGGGACUUUGCGUAGUGCCAGUUCUGCUUUCAAUGCUUUCAGCCUCUGGUGAGCACCAGUACAGAAGA
rnacentral:lncRNA from 1 species